CAGCGCGUCAAAGUGGUAGUGAUUUGUUGUGAUCGAUCUCAUAUCACAGCCAGCUUUGAUGUGCUGUG
rnacentral:pre_miRNA from 1 species